rnacentral:lncRNA from 1 species
CCAUAAAUGAACCCCUCCCCCACCGCCCCCCCCCCCCCCACCGUGACGCCGUUUUGCAGCCACCGCAGCGGCCAAAGGCGCAGCCACGGAGGUGAGGACGGGGCGGCCCCAUAGAUCCGCCCCAUAGCUCUGCCCCAUAGAUGCCCCAUAGCUGCCCUAUAGCGCCCCAUAGCGCCCCAUAGCGCCCCAUAGACCCCAUUCAUCCUCCAUCCAUUCCCAUUGCCCUCCAUCUCUGCCCCAUAGAGCUCCAUAUCUGCCCCAUAGAGCCCCAUAGCGCCCCAUAGCUCUGCCCCAUAGAUGCCCCAUAGCCGCCCUAUAGCGCCCCAUAGCGCCCCAUAACCCCAAAGACCCCAUUCAUCCUCCAUCCAUUCCCAUUGCCUCAUAUCGGCCCCAUAGAGCUCCAUAUCUGCCCCAUAGAGCCCCAUAGCGCCCCAUAGCUCUGCCCCAUAGAUGCCCCAUAGCCGCCCCAUAGCGCCCCAUAGCGCCCCAUAACCCCACAGCCCCCAUUCAUCCUCCAUCCAUUCCCAUUGCCUUCCAUCUCUGCCCCAUUGAGCCCCAUAUCGCCCCAUAGCUCUGCCCCAUAGAUGCCCCAUAGCCGCCCCAUAGCGCCCCAUAUCCCCAUAGCCCCCAUUCAUUCUCCAUCCAUUCCUAUUGCCUUCCAUCUCUGCCCCAUAGAGCCCCAUCUCUGCCCCAUAGAGCCCCAUAGCGCCCCAUAGCUCUGCCCCAUAGAUGCCCCAUAGCUGCCCUAUAGCGCCCCAUAACCCCAUAGCCCCCAUUCAUCCUCCAUCCAUUCCCACUGCCCUCCACCUCUGCACCCCAUAACGCCAUCUCUGCCCUAUAGAGCCCCAUAGAUCUGCCCCAUAGAUGCCCCAUAGCCGCCCCAUAGCGCCCCAUAGCGCCCCAUAACCCCAUAGACCCCAUUCAUCCUCCAUCCAUUCCCAUUGCCCUCCAUCUCUGCCCAAUAGAGCCCUAUAGAGCCCCAUAGAGUCCCAUAGAUCUGCCCCAUAGAUGCCCAUAGCGCCCUAUAGCGCCCCAUAGCGCCCCAUAACCCCAAAGACCCCAUUCGUCCUCUAUCCAUUCCCAUUGCCUCAUAUCAGCCCACGUCUCUGCCCCAUAGAGCUCCAUAUCUGCCCCAUAGAGCCCCAUACCUCUGCCCCAUAGCUCUGCCCCAUUGAUGCCCCAUAGCUGCCCUAUAGCGCCCCAUAGCGCCCCAUAACCCCAUAACCCCCAUUCAUUCUCCAUCCAUUCCCACUGUCCUCCAUCUCUGCACCCCAUAACACCAUCUCUGCCCCAUAGAGCCCCAUAGAGCCCCAUAGCUCUGCCCCAUAGAUGCCCUAUAGUCACCCUAUAGCGCCCCAUAGCGCCCCAUAGCCCCCAUUCAUCCUCCAUCCAUUCCCAUUGCCGCACAUUUCUGCCCCAUAGCUGCCCCAUAGCGCCCCAUAGCGCCAUAUCUGCCCCAUAGCACCUCACAGCUCUGCCCCAUAGCUUUGCCCCAUAGCCCGAUCUAUGGGGCUGGAGCCAAUCUAUGGGGCUGGAACCCGAUAUGGGGCCGAUCUAUGGGGCUGGAGGCAACCUAUGGGGCAGGAGCCAAUCUAUGGGGCCAGGACCCGCUAUGGGGCCGAUCUAUGGGGCUGAAAAUGUCUAUGGGGCUGAUCUAUGGGGCUGGAGCCAAUCUAUGGGGCUGGGACAGUCUAUGAGACCAAUCUAUGGGGCCAGGACCCACUAUGGGGCCAAUCUAUGGGGCCAGGACCCACUAUGGGGCCAAUCUAUGGGGCUGGAACCCACUAUGGGGCCAAUCUAUGGGGCUGGGACCUGCUAUGGGGCCGAUCUAUGGGGCUGGGGCCGAUGUGUGGGGCCGGAAUGCCCCAUAGGUGUCCCCUUCCAUCCCCCCCCCCCCCCAAUUUCCGCCCCACGGAUUCUUUGCUGCUAUUUGGGGCUCCUCCACCUGCGCUGCCCCACAGCUGUUGUGGGGCGGGGGGGCGGGGGGGGGGGGGGGGGAACUUCCGCCCACCCCAUGGGGCCCCACAGCGCCGCCCCAUAGAUGGGAACCGGGGGGGGGGGGGGGGGGGGGGGGCACUGGGAGGGGCUGCCCCAUAGAUCUGCCCCAUAGAUCAGCACGAGAGAUGGCACAGGUAUGGCUCUGCCCCAUAGAUGGUAACUGGGAUGGCUCUGCCCCAUAGAUCUGCCCCAUAGGUUACACUGAGGGAGCUCUGCCCCAUAGGUGGCACUGGGGGGGUUCUGCCCCAUAGAUGGUACAGGUAUGGCUCUGCCCCAUAGAUCUGCCCCAUAGGUGGCACUGGGGGGGCUCUGCCCCACAGAUGGCACAGGUAUGGCUCUGCCCCAUAGAUGGAUGGCACUGGGGGGAGGCUCUGCCCCAUAGAUCUGUCCCAUAGGUGGCAGUGGGGGGGCUCUGCCCCAUAGAUCUGCCCCAUAGAUGGCACUGGGGGGGCUCUGCCCCAUAGAUGGGAACCCGGGGGGGGGGAGGGGGGCAGUGGGGGGGCUCUGCCCCAUAGAUCUGCCCCAUAGAUGGCACUGGGGGGGCUCUGCCCCAUAGAUGGGAACCCGGGGGGGG